rnacentral:rRNA from 1 species
UACGUAGGGGGCAAGCGUUGUCCGGAUUUAUUGGGCGUAAAGCGCUCGCAGGCGGCCUGUCGCGUCGGUUGUGAAAGCCCGGGGCUUAACCCCGGGUCUGCAGUCGAUACGGGCAGGCUAGAGUUCGGUAGGGGAGAUCGGAAUUCCUGGUGUAGCGGUGAAAUGCGCAGAUAUCAGGAGGAACACCGGUGGCGAAGGCGGAUCUCUGGGCCGAUACUGACGCUGAGGAGCGAAAGCCAGGGGAGCAAACGGG